CCUACGAGUGGCAGCAGUGAGGAAUAUUGGACAAUGGGCGCGAGUCUGAACCAGCCAUGUCGCGUGAAGGAUGAAUGCCCUAUGGGUUGUCAACUUCUUUUAUAAGGGCAUAAAACUAAGCAUGAGUGCCUUUUUGCAUGUACUUUAUGAAUAAGGAUAGGCUAACUCCGUGCCAGCAGAAGAGGUCAUACGGAGGAUCCGAGCGUUAACCGGAUUUAUUGGGCUUAAAGUGAGCGUAGAUGGGUUGUUAAGUCAGUUGUGAAAGUUUGGGGCUCAACCGUAAAAUUGAAAUCGAGACUGGCAGUCUUGAGUACAGUAGAGGUAGGUGGAAUUCGUGGUGUAGCGGUGAAAUGCGUAGAGAUCACGAAGAACUCCGAUGGCGAAGGCAGCUCACUAAAC
rnacentral:rRNA from 1 species